rnacentral:rRNA from 1 species
UACAGGGGGUGCAAACGUUGCUCGGAAUUACUGGGCGUAAAGCGCACGUAGGCGGCUUUCUAAGUCGGGGGUGAAAUCCUGGAGCUCAACUCCAGAACUGCCUUCGAUACUGGAAAGCUCGAGUCCGGGAGAGGUGAGUGGAACUGCGAGUGUAGAGGUGAAAUUCGUAGAUAUUCGCAAGAACACCAGUGGCGAAGGCGGCUCACUGGCCCGGUACUGACGCUGAGGUGCGAAAGCGUGGGGAGCAAACAGG